rnacentral:rRNA from 1 species
CGUUAGCGGCGGACGGGUGAGUAACACGUGGGUAACCUACCUAUAAGACUGGGAUAACUUCGGGAAACCGGAGCUAAUACCGGAUAAUAUUUCGAACCGCAUGGUUCGAUAGUGAAAGAUGGUUUUGCUAUCACUUAUAGAUGGACCUGCGCCGUAUUAGCUAGUUGGUAAGGUAACGGCUUACCAAGGCGACGAUACGUAGCCGACCUGAGAGGGUGAUCGGCCACACUGGAACUGAGACACGGUCCAGACUCCUACGGGAGGCAGCAGG